CCUACGGGAGGCAGCAGUGGGGAAUAUUGCACAAUGGGGGGAACCCUGAUGCAGCGACGCCGCGUGGGUGAAGGAGUAUUUCGGUAUGUAAAGCCCUAUCAGCAGGGAAGAACAAUGACGGUACCUGACUAAGAAGCACCGGCUAAAUACGUGCCAGCAGCCGCGGUAAUACGUAUGGUGCAAGCGUUAUCCGGAUUUACUGGGGGUAAAGGGAGCGCAGGCGGCGCGUUAAGCCUGGUGUGAAAGUCCGCGGCCCAACCGCGGGACUGCAUUGGGAACUGGCGCGCUGGAGUGCCGGAGGGGUAGGCGGAAUUCCUAGUGUAGCGGUGAAAUGCGUAGAUAUUAGGAGGAACACCAGUGGCGAAGGCGGCCUACUGGACGGUGACUGACGCUGAGGCUCGAAAGCGUGGGGAGUAAACAGGAUUAGAUACCCGAGUAGUC
rnacentral:rRNA from 1 species